rnacentral:lncRNA from 1 species
GGGUGAUGAUUCUAUUUCUGUGCCUUAACUCUCUUGAGCCAGAACAAAGACAAAUCCCGGAUUUCUCCAUCAGUCUGUGACCCUAGAGAAGACCCAGAGCUGGCUCCAGGGAAGGGCUGCGUUUGGCCUGGGAGAGGAACGAAGUUUGAGGGGACACUUGCUUUUUCCCCAAGCUUCACCUGUAGUGGAAGCCUGUUUAAAAAGUGACAGCAAAAUCCAGACUGUGUGUGGACAGCGAGUCUGCAAAUGGAGGCUUAAAAGAUGCGGAAGCCCCAAGUUAGUUCUGGGGGUCU